rnacentral:rRNA from 1 species
UACGUAGGGGGCAAGCGUUGUCCGGAUUCAUUGGGCGUAAAGAGCGUGUAGGCGGCCAGGUAGGUCGGUUGUGAAAACUGGAGGCUCAACCUUCAGAGGUCGACCGAAACCAUCUGGCUAGAGUCCGGGAGAGGAGAGUGGAAUUCCCGGUGUAGAGGUGAAAUUCGUAGAUAUCGGGAGGAACACCAGUGGCGAAGGCGGCAACCUGGGCCAAUAUUGACGCUGAGGUGCGAAAGCGUGGGGAGCAAACAGG